GGGGGCGUAAAGGUUUCGACGGGGGUCGUGAACCGUGGUAAGCGAGUAGCGGUGCGGGACCGCUAUAAAAUCCGCAAUUUUAAAAAUAAACGACAACAAUACAGUUGCUCUUGCUGCUUAAUUAAGCAGCCGUCCUAUACCUGAGUACCGCGGCGGGUAUCAGGGCGUCGAUUAGCGGUAAAUGUGAGCAGAAGGACGCCUUUAAUUUUGCCACACACUAAAGGCUACCAAGGAAAAUAGCCUGCCUUUGGGCGCUUUUCUGAGGGAAUUUUAAAACAACGGCUACACUCGUAGAAAGCUGCGGCAAAUAACUUUCGGACAGGAGUUCGACUCUCCUCGCCUCCACCA
rnacentral:tmRNA from 1 species